rnacentral:tRNA from 1 species
GAAGGAUUAGUUAAAAUAAAUAACAUCAGAAUGUCAAACUGAAGUAACCGAAAAGGUAUCCUUCU